UUAACACUGAAAGAAAUCGGGAUGGUUCUAAUCAAAAAUCUAUAUUCAUUAAUUAAUGGCAGAAAGAAAAACUGGCCUGGAAAGAGAAAGCCCCUGUGACCUCAAAACACAACCCACCCAGUCCUGUUCUUUAUUAAGAUGGCUGAGAUGAGAAUACAGAUUUGUUUGAGAGGAGCCAAUGUUAACUUUACUGGAAAGAAGAAUGAACUUGAACCAACCAUGAUCUCAAAUCACAGUCUUUGGCAGCUCUGAAGACCUCUUCCAGAAGAGCAGAAAGUGAGAGAAGACAGGAACGAUGCAGAGCUCACUGAUGCUCUCCAGCUUGGUGGUGGUUGUGGAUGAAUACAUGCGU